rnacentral:rRNA from 1 species
UACGUAGGGCGCAAGCGUUGUCCGGAAUUAUUGGGCGUAAAGAGCUCGUAGGCGGUCUGUCGCGUCUGCUGUGAAAACUCGGGGCUUAACCCCGGGCCUGCAGUGGGUACGGGCAGACUAGAGUGCGGUAGGGGGAGACUGGAAUUCCUGGUGUAGCGGUGAAAUGCGCAGAUAUCAGGAGGAACACCGGUGGCGAAGGCGGGUCUCUGGGCCGUAACUGACGCUGAGGAGCGAAAGCAUGGGGAGCGAACAGG